GACGAACGCUGGCGGCGUGCUUAACACAUGCAAGUCGAACGGAAAGGCCCUGCUUUUGUGGGGUGCUCGAGUGGCGAACGGGUGAGUAACACGUGAGUAACCUGCCCUUGACUUUGGGAUAACUUCAGGAAACUGGGGCUAAUACCGGAUAGGAGCUCCUGCUGCAUGGUGGGGGUUGGAAAGUUUCGGCGGUUGGGGAUGGACUCGCGGCUUAUCAGCUUGUUGGUGGGGUAGUGGCUUACCAAGGCUUUGACGGGUAGCCGGCCUGAGAGGGUGACCGGCAACAUGGGGACUGAGAUACGGCCCAGACACCUACGGGAGGCAGCAGUGGGGAAUAUUGCACAAUGGGCGGAAGCCUGAUGCAGCAACGCCGCGUGCGGGAUGACGGCCUUCGGGUUGUAAACCGCUUUCGCCUGUGACGAAGCGUGAGUGACGGUAAUGGGUAAAGAAGCACCGGCUAACUACGC
rnacentral:rRNA from 1 species